rnacentral:rRNA from 1 species
UACGAAGGGGGCUAGCGUUGCUCGGAAUUACUGGGCGUAAAGGGCGCGUAGGCGGAUAUUUAAGUUAGAGGUGAAAGCCCAGGGCUCAACCCUGGAACAGCCUUUAAUACUGGAUAUCUUGAGUUCGGGAGAGGUGAGUGGAACUCCGAGUGUAGAGGUGAAAUUCGUAGAUAUUCGGAAGAACACCAGUGGCGAAGGCGGCCCGCUGGGCAACUGCUGACACUGAUGCGCGACAGCGUGGGGAGCAAACAGG